AGGUGUGGAUAGGGGAGAAAUUCCAAUCGAACCCGGAGAUAGCUGGUUCUCCUCGAAAUAGCUUUAGGGCUAGCCUCGAUACAGAUUUGCGGAGGUAGAGCACUGAAUUUCCUAGGGGGCGUCAAAGCCUACCGAAGAAUAUCAAACUCCGAAUGCCGCGUAAUCGAUUAUCGGGAGUCAGACUGCACGAGAUAAGUUGGGCGGUCAAAAGGGAAAGAGCCCAGACCUUCAGUUAAGGUCCCAAAGUGCGCGUUAAGUGGAAAAGGAUGUGGGAUUUCGAAGACAACCAGGAUGUUGGCUCAGAAGCAGCCAUACAUUCAAAGAGUGCGUAAUAGCUCACUGGUCGAGAGGUCCUGCGCCGAAAAUGUCCGGGGCUGAAACGCGCCACCGAAACUAAGGAACCGAAAGGUUGGUAGAGGAGCAUUGCAUGCGGAACGAAGCAGUACCGUAAGGAGCUGUGGACUGCAUGGAAGAGAGAAUGCCGGAAUGAGUAGCGAGAUAGAGGUGGGAAUCCUCUAGGCCGAAUAUCCAAGGUUUCCAGAGUAAAGCUGAUCUGCUCUGGGUAAGUCGGGGCCUAAGGCGAGGACGAGAGUCGUAGCCGAUGGACAACAGGUGGAGAUUCCUGUACUGCGGUAUGACAGAACUGUGGGGACACGUAAGGAAAGCGGAAGCCGGGAAUGGAAAGCCCGGUGCAAGCGGGGUACCAGUCACUUUGGCAAAUCCGGGUGGCAAUGGGAAGCCGUGAUGCGGAGCGAAAUAAAGUAGCGAAGUCCGUGAGCCAUGCGUCAAGAAAAGCCGCUAUUGUUUAUACCGUACCCGUACCGUAAACCGACACAGGUGGAUGAGGAGAGAAUCCUAAGGCCGGCGGAAGAAGCAUUGUCAAGGAACUCGGCAAAAUGGCCCCGUAACUUAGGGAUAAGGGGUGCCUGGGAAACCAGGCCGCAGAGAAUAGGCUCAAGCAACUGUUUAGCAAAAACACAGGUCUAUGCGAAACCGAAAGGUGAGGUAUAUGGGCUGACGCCUGCCCGGUGCUGGAAGGUUAAGAGGAGAGGUUAGCGCAAGCGAAGCUUUGAAUUUAAGCCCCAGUAAACGGCGGCCGUAACUAUAACGGUCCUAAGGUAGCGAAAUUCCUUGUCGGGUAAGUUCCGACCCGCACGAAAGGCGUAAUGAUUUGAGCGCUGUCUCGACAAUGCAUCCGGUGAAAUUGAAGUACCAGUGAAGAUGCUGGUUACCUGCGCCAGGACGGAAAGACCCCAUGGAGCUUUACUCCAGUUUGGUACUGGGAUUCGGUACUGCAUGUACAGGAUAGGUGGGAGACUAUGAACUAGGGACGCCAGUUUCUAGGGAGUCGCUGUUGGGAUACCACCCUUGCAGUAUUGGAUUUCUAACCAGUCACCGUGAUCCGGUGAUGGGACAAUGCCAUGUAUGCCUGUAAUCAAGUUAUCAUAAGGCUUAUUUCCGCUGAAAAUCACUUUGCAAUGGUAGAUACGUUCCAGUUCUUUAGCCACAUCUUGAAUAGGGGUAGAGUUGAAUCGGAUUCCUCCUGUACGCCAAAUAGCAAAUUUUUCCAUAAUAUCUUUUUCUUUACUAUACGAAUCUGAAAUUUUGUUGAUGAUCACAUGUUCGCCAGAACUGAUUCUCAUCAUGGCUUCAGGCAAAUCCACUUGUACUUUACCUUCUUUAACUUCUACCAAAUCAGUUUGAUCAUAAGGGUGUGAUUUCACAUUAAAAAUAGUACCUAGCACGGUUAUCGACAUAUUUUCCAUUUUUACGAUGAAAGGCUUUUCCGGAUUAUGAGUUACUUUAAAACAACCUUCUCCAGUUAGUUCUACAAUUCGGUUAUUCCCCACAAAUUGCUCAGGAUACUUCACCAUAGUGCACGAGUUUAUAGCUAGUUCAGUGUUAUCAGGUAAAAUAAUAGUUUUAUGUUCACCAUAGUCUGUAGUUACUGUAAUGAUAGGAGUUCGCUUUUCUACUCUUUCUUCGUAAUAGCCAA
rnacentral:rRNA from 1 species